GACGAACGCUGGCGGCGUGCUUAACACAUGCAAGUCGAACGAAGUGGCGAACGGGUGAGUAACGCGUAAUCAACCUGCCCUUCAGAGGGGGACACCAGUUGGAAACGACUGCUAAUACCGCAUACUGAAGGAGGGGAUUGCGUCUGCUUAGCUAGUUGGAGGGGUAACGGCCCACCAAGGAGAUGAUCAGUAGCCGGUCUGAGAGGAUGAACGGCCAAAUUGGGACUGAGAAACGGCCCAGACUCCUAAGGGAGGCAGCAGGGGGGAAUCGUCCGCAAUGGAGGAAAGGCUGACGGAGCAACGCCGCGGGAGUGAUGACGGGCUUCGGGUUGUAAAGGUCUGUUAAUCGGGACGCGGUACCGGAAGAGAAAGCCACGGCUAACUACGUGCCAGCAGCCGCGGUAAUAC
rnacentral:rRNA from 1 species